rnacentral:rRNA from 1 species
GGUGGUAGGGAGUCCGAAAGGUGACGACCCUUCGGGAGCCUGCACAGGUGCUGCAUGGCUGUCGUCAGCUCGUGUCGUGAGAUGUCCGGUUAAGUCCGGUAACGAGCGCAACCCUUGCUGUAUGUUACAUGUGUCAUACGGGACUGCCGGUAUCAAGCCGGAGGAAGGUGGGGAUGACGUCAAGUCAGCAUGGCCUUUAUGUCUGGGGCUACACACACGCUACAAUGGCCAGUACAAUAGGUUGCAAAGCCGCGAGGUGGAGCCAAUCCUUAAAGCUGGUCUCAGUUCGGAUUGCAGGCUGCAACUCGCCUGCAUGAAGUCGGAGUUGCUAGUAACCGCGCGUCAGCUAUAGUGCGGUGAAUACGUUCCCGGGCCUU